rnacentral:rRNA from 1 species
GCAAAGCGGACUGUACGUUCUGAUUAUAUCUUGAAAAAACAAGUCAAAACUUUCAACAACGGAUCUCUUGGUUCUGGCAUCGAUGAAGAACGCAGCGAAAUGCGAUAAGUAAUGUGAAUUGCAGAAUUCAGUGAAUCAUCGAAUCUUUGAACGCACAUUGCGCCCGGCAGCAAUCUGCCGGGCAUGCCUGUCCGAGCGUCAUUU